GUAAUGUCUGGGAAACUGCCUGAUGGAGGGGGAGUAACUACUGGAAACGGUAGCUAAUACCGCAUAACGUCGCAAGACCAAAGAGGGGGACCUUCGGGCCUCUUGCCAUCAGAUGUGCCCAGAUGGGAUUAGCUAGUAGGUGGGGUAACGGCUCACCUAGGUGACGAUCCCUAGCUGGUCUGAGAGGAUGACCAGCCGCACUGGAACUGAGACACGGUCCAGACUCCUACGGGAGGCAGCAUG
rnacentral:rRNA from 1 species